GGGCUGACCACUGGGGAGGAAGGACACUCCUUGCCGGCUCCAGCCCGGGAGCAGCAGGAACCCCUGAUCGUGGACGCCAGAGCCAUGGAGACCCUGACCAACGCCCAAGUGCAUGCAGAUGUCCGAAAGGGAUCAGAGUCACCGGGAAAUGCACACGCUGAAAAACCUGGAGACCUUGACGAUGCCUCAACUGUAGCUCCAAAAGAUAUGUCCUUCGGCCUUACCACCUCAAGGUAAAGGACAGCUGGAGAGAUGGGAGGGAACUCUCCCUGCACUGGAUGGGGACACCCACCCCAUUGCACGUGGUGGAGAAUGCAGGCAGUGAUGAGGGCUUGCUGAGAGGCCUGUGUUGAGAAGCCCAGGAAGAGGGAAGACACCAUUUCCACCAUGGAUACUUGUACCUCUCCACUUGGGGAAUCUUAGGCCUUGAGAUGGAGUCAAAGAAAGUAUUGAAAUGGCUCUUGGAGAGCCAACAACAAGAAGCACACAAAUAGCAACAGGUACAGCUGUUGCAACAAAUUGCCAAUCAACAACCACAAAUGAUGUGGAGACUAGCCCCCCAUCAUCAAGCCCAGCAGGCGAGUCUUGUGCAGCAGAUGGCGGCUUUACUGCAGCCAGGGGGCACUCCGACCACCAUACUAGCAGAAUCCGACCCUGGCUCCAAGCCAUCUGGACUCCUGCUGUAGCUUACCAAGAUGGGAUCUGGGGAUGACCCUGAAGUGUUCCUAGUGACUUUGAGUGGGUGCCCACCACCACACAUUGGCUCCCAGGGCACUGGGCCACCCACACUGGGCCUGCCCCGUCAGCUUAUCGCAAUCUUGACCACUUGGACGCACUAGAUGAUGAUAAGGUGAAGGCAGCAAUCCCAACCAAACUGGCAUCAGACAUGAAACAUACCGACAGUGUUUCUGUUGAGAGUGUUAUCCUUCUGGGGCCAGACCAAGAGCAGUGGGCAACGCCUCAGAGGUUACGCCUGGUGGUGGUUGGAACCUGACAAGUGGUCUGGGGCCCAGGUAGCAGAAGCCAUAGUCCUGUUACACUUCACUCAAAUUCCUGCAGGGGCAAGGAAUGGGUGCGACGACACCAGUCUGUGAUGCGUAUGGAUGCCGUAGGGCUGAUGGAAGAUUACUUGGCAGCAGAAGUGGGGAACCACGAUACUGAAAGCCUGAAGUGUCGGUGGUAUGAGAUAAACUGGCUGGAACAAGCCCAGAGGAUACUGACACCCAUCCAGAACCCCCACCAAUCACUCAGACUUGCCACGGAGGCUGAUAGCUACUUGAGUCCUGCCCUGGCAGGGUGAAGUCCUCUGGGCGGGGACUGGCAUGGUGAAAGUGGACCUGAGACCAUUGUUAUGAGUGUGAACAAGAGGCAUUUUCUGAAGGGAUUGCCCCUAUAUAGAUUAUAAUGGCAGAUAGGGAUGGGUAAUUAGCCCACGGGCCCAGAAGAAGGCCCCAGGGAAGCUCGGGUUCCCCGUGCAUGUAAAUAGAACACCCAUGGUGGCUCUAAUUGACUCCGGAUAUAGUCAGACCCUGGUCUGAAGGGAGCUGGUCCCAGCCCCUAAACCAAACUGGUCCCAAAUACACCUACACCUGGCCGCUAGGCUGGGCUGCCCUGCAAACCAGGGUUACCCCAUCAAUUUCAAUCCUUUGGUCUUACCACCUCAAGGUAAAGGACAGCUGGAGGGUCAGGGUGAACUCACCCCGCAUUGGAUGGGGACCACCCACCCCAUCGCAAACCCUCAAACAAAACCAAUGCAAUUUUUAAAGAGCCCUGCAAUUCCAAACAAUCACGUGCUUUGGUAUUAAAAUGCUUCUGUCAAAACAUGGCAAAUGAACAGCUCACACACUUCAUUUUUUUCACAUUGGAGUAACAAUGAAAAAUCUUAAUAUAAAACAGUAUCUCAAAAAUAUACUGUGGGGAAAAGAUAAAACACAUGCUGUAUGCAUUUCUAUUUGUCUCCAUUAAUAAAACACCUAUGUUCUAUGCCACUAAGAAUCAGUUAUUAUGUGUAUUUUAACGGCAUGGGCCAACAGUGCCAAAUAAAAUGAAAGCAACUGAGGAUAUUUUAAACAAGAAUGACUAAGGCUACACUUUUGUUGGCUGUGAAACUUAUCUUGAAGCAGUUUAGUUUAAAAGCUACAAAAACAUAGUGUUAAUUUAAAACAAUCCAUGCAGAGACAGCUAAAUUAUGUUCAGUAUCCAGGAUUAAGUUGGUCACUUAAAGAAUAUAACAGGGAAAAAACCUGAAACCUUUAAUCUAAAACUGUUUAAGUGCUAUAGGCAGAGGUGAAAGUAAGCUGGUCCGGUCCGGCCUACCGGCAAGAGCCAGUACACUGUGCCGGACCGGCUUCCCCAGGCUGGCGCUUUAAAGGGCUCAGGGUUCCCCGCAGCGGCCAGAGCACUGGACCCUUUAAAGCGCCGUCUGAGCCCUGCUGCUGGAGCCCUGGGGUAGUGGCAGCAGGGCUCCAGCGGUGAUUUAAAGGGCCUGAGCUCCGCUGUGGUAAAUCGCCCCUGAGCCCCGGGGCUUCCAGCUGCCUCUGGGGAUGAUUUAAAGGCUCCCGGGCUCCCAGUUGCAGCUGGAGCCCUGGGGCCUUUAAAACUUCAGGUGGAGGCCACACCCCCUGCUCAGGGCUCCGGAGUACCGGUAAGUCCUUUAAAUUACUUUCACCCCUGGCUAUCGGUAGUAUCAAAUGUGUGUGUAAAGGUAUGUCUACACUGCAAUGUAAUCCCAGGUUUAG